rnacentral:lncRNA from 1 species
AUAUAUAAGUAAAAGAAUUUGAACCAACUUUUAGGUUAAUCAUACGAAAACUCAGAAAUUCAAAAUCAUCUUAUUUGAUAUCCAAACAUAAUAGGCAUGUAUACAAAAAAAGACAUUGCUAUAUAAAUAAACGAAAAGUUAUGAAGACUUGUAACGUCUGGCAGUUGCAUUUCCGGAACACAACUGAUAAAGAACUUGCCUGGAAACGAAGCAUAGCAAAUCAUGAAUACGAUUCUAUUCGUUGGAGAAGUGGUAACUUCAAUAUUCAGUUUAUCGUUACGUUGCCAACAACAUCGCAUUCUGUGACUAUAACAGCGAAAUGCGUGACAUUGAAUAGAUUCUAUAUUAUUCAGAUAAUGGCAUCUUUGUGAGUAGUGAGAGUAAAGAAUUAUCUCAUUGUAUAGGGAAUUUGAAUAUUUUGA